CCUANGGGGGGCAGCAGUAAGGAAUAUUGGUCAAUGGACGCAAGUCUGAUCCAGCCAUGCCGCGUGAAGGAUGAAGGCCCUCUGGGUUGUAAACUUCUUUUAUCUGGGACGAAAAACGGACUUUCUAGUUCACUUGACGGUACCAGAGGAAUAAGCACCGGCUAACUCCGUGCCAGCAGCCGCGGUAAUACGGAGGGUGCAAGCGUUAUCCGGAUUUACUGGGUUUAAAGGGUGCGUAGGUGGGUAGGUAAGUCAGUGGUGAAAUCUUCAAGCUUAACUUGGAAACUGCCAUUGAUACUAUUUAUCUUGAAUACUUUGGAGGUAAGCGGAAUAUGUCAUGUAGCGGUGAAAUGCUUAGAUAUGACAUAGAACACCAAUUGCGAAGGCAGCUUACUACACAGUUAUUGACACUGAGGCACGAAAGCGUGGGGAUCAAACAGGAUUAGAUACCCCGNUANUC
rnacentral:rRNA from 1 species